GGCUUCGUAGCUCAGUUGGUGGAGCGCUUGCCGCACUGAGGCAUGCUGUUUCUGUCGCUGGUUCGAAUCCAGCGGAAGCCC
rnacentral:tRNA from 1 species